ensembl:lncRNA
AGAGAGAGAGAGGCUGAGCUGGUAGAGAGAGGCUGAGCUGGUAGAGAGAGAGGCUGAGCUGGUAGAGAGAGGCUGAGCUGGUAGAGAGAGAGAGAGGCUGAGCUGGUAGAGAGAGAGGCUGAGCUGGGAGAGAGAGGCUGAGCUGGUAGAGAGAGGCUGAGCUGGUAGAGAGAGAGGCUGAGCUGGUAGAGAGAGGCUGAGCUGGUAGAGAGAGGCUGAGAUGGAGAUAGAGGGCCACAGAGGGAGGUGAGCUGGAGGAAGGAUGGAGCAGAUGACGGAGGGAUGAGGGAGAGAGAAAGGCUGACCUCUGGCCGCUCUCAGGGGUGGAGGGCUGCCAGGAUGAGAUGGAGGAGUUGGAAGAGAGGUGGAUGCUGGGAGGAGAGAGCAGAACC